rnacentral:rRNA from 1 species
AAAACGACUCUCGGCAACGGAUAUCUCGGCUCACGCAUCGAUGAAGAACGUAGCAAAAUGCGAUACUUGGUGUGAAUUGCAGAAUCCCGUGAACCAUCGAGUUUUUGAACGCAAGUUGCGCCCGAAGCCAUCCGGUUGAGGGCACGUCUGCCUGGGCGUCACGU